AAGAAAUUCGGUUAAUGAAGGCCGUAUCACUUCAAAUGAUAAAGCGGAAGCUCAUAUCUUCCAUUUCUUA
rnacentral:tRNA from 1 species